rnacentral:rRNA from 1 species
GAUGAACGCUGGCGGCGUGCCUAAUACAUGCAAGUCGAGCGAACAGACGAGGAGCUUGCUCCUUUGACGUUAGCGGCGGACGGGUGAGUAACACGUGGGUAACCUACCUAUAAGACUGGGAUAACUUCGGGAAACCGGAGCUAAUACCGGAUAAUAUUUCGAACCGCAUGGUUCGAUAGUGAAAGAUGGCUCUGCUAUCACUUAUAGAUGGACCUGCGCCGUAUUAGCUAGUUGGUAAGGUAACGGCUUACCAAGGCAACGAUACGUAGCCGACCUGAGAGGGUGAUCGGCCACACUGGAACUGAGACACGGUCCAGACUCCUACGGGAGGCAGCAGUAGGGAAUAUUCCGCAAAGGGCGAAAGCCUGACGGAGCAACGCCGCGUGAGUGAUGAAGGUCUUCGGAUCGUAAAACUCUGUUAUUAGGGAAGAACAAACGUGUAAGUAACUGUGCACGUCUUGACGGUACCUAAUCAGAAAGCCACGGCUAACUACGUG